UGACGGUCACAUCAAGUUGAAAAACUAGUUCUCGUACGAUCACCGAAGUUAAGCAACGUCGAUUAUAGUCAGUAGAUGGGUGACCGCCUGCGAAUACCAUGUACUGUAAGC